rnacentral:lncRNA from 1 species
AGCUGCGGAUGCCUGGGGCUGGUCGCUCUCAAAUGGGACUCUCACACUUCCGCUCCGUAGGACGGGCCCUGGAGCUGCUUUUGUUGGGAACACAAGCCCACUCCUCUCCCUUAAACUGGAAUGAUCUGGUUAAGUGUGGGAAGAACAGGGUACUAAUUAUAUUAUCGUUCCUACAACUGGAUUGGUAGGUGGAGAGGGGGAAAAAAAAUCCUGCUGACGUUUCUCUCCAGUUGCUGCUAUUGAAAAUACCAGGUUGCUUCAAAGGAUUAACCGCAAGAGGAAACACGCCUGUUAGAGAAACAGUGGAGGAAGCUGCUUAGAGCACGCGAAAAAACCUGUUCGAAAAGGCACAGGAAACGUUAACACAGGGCCCGAGUGUGUGUGUUCACAGGCCAACCUUGAAUGUCUUCUGGGAGUUUCCAGAGAGGCCUCUCUUCCAGGACCUGUGCUGCUGGUCACUCCCCUCCAAGGCCCUGUGCCAUUCAUUCCAGCACAUGACUUCACCCAUCUGGUCACUGGGCAAAAGGGGGCGAAGCCGACCAGUCUUUUUGCUGCAGAGGGAUGAGCCAGUUCAAUGCCCCCGAGAGAUGGCCCCACUAAGCAAGAACUGGAACAUAUUAAAAGAAAAUACAACUCACCAUGAGAGCCAUGGCCUAAUUAUAUUCAUUUACCUGGGAGCAGGCACUGGAUGCCCUCAAGGGAGAGCCUGCCACUUCAUCCCA